UACGUAGGGGGCAAGCGUUGUCCGGAUUUAUUGGGCGUAAAGAGCGUGUAGGCGGUUUGGUAGGUCCGCUGUGAAGACUCGAGGCUCAACCUCGAGACGCCGGUGGAAACCAUCAGGCUAGAGUCCGGAAGAGGAGAGUGGAAUUCCUGGUGUAGCGGUGAAAUGCGCAGAUAUCAGGAAGAACACCCGUGGCGAAGGCGGCUCUCUGGGACGGUACUGACGCUGAGACGCGAAAGCGUGGGGAGCGAACAGG
rnacentral:rRNA from 1 species